rfam:Pyrococcus horikoshii OT3 DNA, complete genome.
UGCGAUGAUGAGAGCGAACUGCACUGAAAAGUGAUGACAGGGCCUUGCUGAGC